rnacentral:tRNA from 1 species
GGGUCGUUAGCUCAGUGGGCAGAGCAGUUGACUUUUAAUCAAUUGGUCGCAGGUUCGAGCCGAGCAGAGCGAGACAACAACGCGCCAGCGUUGACCCGAAGGGCGAGUCCAGAGGACGAGUCAUCCCGCACGACCCACCA